GCAUGAACAGGAAUGUUUUUAAGUUCCCCCAGAACAUUAUCAACAAGGGAGGGAGAUGUACCUCACCAGGGAGGGCAUUCCACAAAUAGGAACCACCACCUAGAAGGCCCUGUCAUAGGUCAAGGCCAAGUGGGCAGCAAGCACCAACAAAAUAGAAGUAGCAUAUUUCUGGAAGUGGGAAGAGCUUUGAAAGUAUGGGUUGCAAAAGCCCAAGCUAUCGCAAAUGUAACAUGAGCUUUCCGUUAAUAACUGUUAACCAUCUUAGCCCCAAUAUUAGGAAUCAGUGAUCCCUCUAAGAAGCAAAUUGCUCUCUUCUGCUUUACCCCAAGGAGUAUUAUCCAUGAUUGAAGUUAACCAGAGAGUUGCCAGUUAAUGCCAGAGGUCAAUUUAGAGCUUAGGCUGGCAUUCUGCAAGGAUGCAACAGGCCACAGUGUCAGUUGAUGCCUCCUGACCCAGUUCAUAGACUUCUGCAUCAGGAUUGCUUGCUGGUCUAAGCAACAAUCAGACCUACUUUUGCUCCCUACAGGCUGAGUCUUCCUUUGUUUCCUCUUUGCCUUGCUGGAACUGAUGACGCCUUGUUAACCAUCCCUGUAAAUGCUCAUGUUGGGUCUGUACUCAGGUGCUAAAACUUCGACCAGUCAAAAUUACGAGGCUCAGCUUGUGAAAACAUUAUCCAGCAGGGAACAGCUUGUUUCCCAUCCGACUAGAGAGGGAGUAAGAGAUGUGUUUCCCCGUAGUUUAUCAGGUCUGCAGUCCAGAUUGGCUGUUAUCUGGACUUUACCUGCAUUUCUUGUAUGUCACCUGGAUGAGCAGUUAUCUCCAGCCAAACCACCUGCUCUGGCAAGUUAUCUCCAAGUGACUGGAUUUCCUUUCGCCUUAUUAUAGAUAAGUAACUGUAAAGCAAGGGGAACAAGCAGGGCAUCGGAUAAAUGGUAAUCCUGCGGGGCGCAGAGUUGUAGCGAUGGGAGCCGGUGCAGUUAAGGAGUGUUAACAUCUCCCUGGAAAAUGUUUGGCAUCCUUCAGAGAGAGAUUGAAAGCCACGACGUCGCAGUUAGAAGUUUGUUCUGCAGAACCGAAGACCGACAGGAGGGCAGGGAAACACAGAAGGUGCAAAUUCAAUGAGAGGAACUUGAAAUUUCCGUCUUCCUUCUGGGGACUUUGUAGUUUAGAGCAAAUGAGAGCAAGGGUUUGAUAGAAGUUUAUAAAAUUACAUGCAGCAGGGAGAAAGUGGGUAGAAUUAUUUUUUCUCUCCUGGUCUCAUAACACCAGAAUUUGUGGACAUUAAGUGAAACUGACUGUUGAAAGAUUCAGAGUGCACAGCACACAGCUAAACUAUGAUGGCCGCCAAGUUGGAUGACUUUCAAAGAAGAUUAGACCAAUUCACAGAGAAGGCUAUUGAUGGCAAUGCUUCUGAAUACGGUUGUUGGAACCCACAGGAGGAGAGAGGGCUGUUGUGUUCGAAUCCUGAUUGCGGGUUGUGGCGAUCACACAGAGUCCCCGGACGUUUGACGGUCUAUUGAUCCCUGUGCCACUACUGUGAUUGCCUCCUCGCUGCCACCAACCCGUUUCUCUCGGGUACACACGGAGCCCAGACAGUUGUUAACAUUAACAAAUAAUCAAGUUUAUUUUUAUAAGCAUGAACAAGUUUAAGGUUUCAGUUAAUUUUUCUUGUCAGUUUCUUAAUCGUAGUUUCUUUACUGACCUAUACGUUCCUAACAACUUCAAACUGAUUGUCCCAGCUAUCUAUCUGACUCCACCUAGCAGUUCCUCUCACUCUCUCACAACACAACUGGACCAACCCACAGACUUAUCCUCCCUCUUCCCUCUCCAACUCCCAACUGACUUUCCAACAAUUCCAACUCUAACUCCUCCCCUUGGGUUCCCACUGGCCAAUCACAUCGCACUCAUUUAAGCCUUUCCUUAUGACCCACCUAGGAGGGCAAACGCCACACGGGUUCCAACAGGCAUCUGUCUGGACACUGUGAGAACAGGAUGAUGGACAUGUGAAAAAGAUCUAGGGGUCUUAGUAGACCAUGAGUCAACAGUGUGAUGCAGCAGCAACAAAAAACAACAACGCUCUUUGAGGCUGCGUCAGCAGAGGUAAAGUGUCCAGAUCAAGGGACGUCGUAGUACCACUCUAUUCUGCCUUGGUCAGACCCCACCUGGAAUACAGUGUCCAAUUCUGGGCCCCAUAAUUUAAGAAGGAUGUUGACAAGCUGGAAUGUGUGUGGAAGAGAGCAACCAAGAUGAUCAAGGGUCUGGAAACCAAGCCUUUUGAAGAACGGUUGAAGGAGUUGUGUACGUUUAGCCUGGAAAAGAGGAGAUAUGAGAGCCAUCUUCAAAUAUCUGAAGGGCCGUUACAUGAAAGAUGGAGCAGUUUUGUUUUUCCGGAGGCUAGGACCCAAGCCAAUAGCUUCAAGUUACAAGAAAGGAGAUUCUGAUGGAACGUCAGGAGGAGCUUUUUUGAUGGUAAGAGCUGUUCAACAAUGGAACAAGAAGACUCCUUUGAGAGGUUGUGGACUCUCCUUUUGUGGAGGUUUUUAAGCAGAGGUUGGGGGGGCCAUAUGUCAGGGAAGCUUUAGCUGAAAUUCCUGCAGUGCGGGGGUUUGGAUGACCUUUGGGGUUCCCUCCAACUUUACACUUCGAUGAUUCUGUGACUAGAUGGGCCAUUGGCUUGAUCCAGGAGGCUCUUCUUAUCUUUAUGCCUGUCCUUGGGAUGAAUAUGUUUUGCCUUCUAAUAUGCUAGGAUUCUGAGCUUUGUGGUUUUAUUCAAAUGUGUGAUUUAUUUUUUAAAAAUUUUUUUUUACCCCCAAACAGCUAAGAAUAGUAAAAGAGCAAGAAAACCAUCAAACUCAUGGCUCAGGGGAAAAUCAUCUGCUGUGAACGCAGAAGGCCUCAAGUUCUGCCUCUGGCAAUGCUAGCUAAAAGGAUCACGUCGUGGGUGAAAUUUUGUUUUCAUGUAUACCACUUAGAAAUGCAGGUAAUUAAGUGCUAUAUGAACAUCUUAAACAAAUAAACAUUUUAGCAGGCUGCACCCAACCAAACUGGACUCUGAGUAGACCAACUGAAAUGAAUAGUUGCCCAUUCAUUUCAGCUAGUUGCCCAUUCAUUUCAAUAGCCUACUCUGCGUAUUACUAACAUCGGAUAAAUUAUUUACAUUAUUGACAGGCCGCCCUGAAGCAAAAAGCUCCCUGGGCAGCUCCACAGAUAAAAAUGAGAAAUUAUAGCUUGAUAAAAACAUAGGGCAUUUCCAAACUGUCGCUAAAUGUAUUUCCAAGUGCAAAUUCAAGUUCGGUGGCCAAAUCAUCUCUGGAUCAUUAUGAAAACUUGCAGGACCACAGCCUGUUUUGAGAUUUUUUUGGGGGGAGGGGGUACAUUUAUAUUCAAUGUGGAGAUUGGGAGGAAGAAAAGUACAUUUGUACAGUGGUACCUUGGUUUGCAACCGUUUUGGAUUACAACCGUUUUGGAUUACAACCAUGUCAAACCCUGAAGUGUGUGUCCCUUUUUUUUGGAUUACAACCCAUUUUUUAAAAUUACAACCCAUUUUUUGGGGGGAGGCCCCUUUGGCGAAAGCGCGCCUUGGGUUACAACCUGUUUUGGUUUACAACCGGACCUCCGGCACAGAUUAUGGUUGUAAACGAAGGUAUCACUGUAUUCAGUUAAUGAAGGACACUUUCAACUGGCCUGACUGCUUUUAAUUAAAAGAUUACUUCUGCCUUCACCCAACCCCUUCCUGUCUGAAUUGAAUUGAAUUUUAUUAUUAUGGUCACAGACCAGUUCCGGCUCACUUACAAUAUCAGGAAAAUCAUAAAACACUACAGGAAUACACUGAAUCGCAUAACAGAGACAAUACAGAUAUAGCAGCAGUUAAAAAUAUAUAUUAAAUCUUGAUCACUAAAAUAUAACCUAAAAUUGUUAUUUAAAACCUUAAUCAUUUUGGUAGUACAGCUUGUUCCCUAAGUUUUAUGGCAGUCACUCUUCUUGUUUAAAUUUGCCACAGAUUCCCUCUUUUCCAUGGUCUUCUCUCCCACUGUAGGGUUGAUGCCUCUCCCAAACUCUGAAACCCCACUGCCUUCACCCACCCGUCCGAGCUCUAACUUUGAUUGAUAUACCCAGCCGUCGCAUGGGGAUUUCUCUGAUUGAUUGAUUCCUGCCUAAGCAGAUGUGGGGUGGGGAGAGAGAAUAUUUACCGCCCUGCGAAACAGGCUUUCAGGAGAAUGUUUUAUGAGGGCUGCUUACAAUAUAGAAAGUGCAGUAAAAGGACCGAAAAGACAAACUUAAUGUGAGGUAAAUAGAGCAGGUCUCCCGCCGGGCACCUGUCAAGAGUCCUGCGUACCUGCAGCUCCCAGGUCAGCCUUUGACCAUCAUCUCAAGAAUGGAAUAGCUUCUGUUUUCUAAACUGAUAUAUUGACCCAAUAAAAAGUAUUAUUACAUUGCCUAUCACUGCUCACAACGGGGGAACCUUUAUAAAAAGAGUGAUUGCUCCAUUCGGAGAGUUACGAGAGAAAGAGGUUUAUGUGUGUGUGAAAGAGAAAGGUAAGUUCUUUGUGAUGGAGAAAAUGCAGGUUUUCAAAACCCUUUGAUUGACUGACUAAUUGGCUGAUUGCGAGAUGUGAUAGGCGGCCCUAUAAGAUUUUUAAAAGGGCACUCUUGUGUAGUUCUGGCUGUCAAAGGAGGUGAUGACCUUCCCUCGGGUCUUUUGUUUAAGGCCGGGGCAUUGGGCAGCUGUUCUGUCAACAGCUUCUGAUUGUGGGUGGCUCCUAGCAGGCAGGGUGGACCUGAGACUAAUGUUCUUCCUGUUUAUAUGUGACUAGGGAGAAAGUGAGGAGGAAUUAAAGAACCUUUUAAUGAGGGUGAAAGAGGAGAGCGCAAAAUAUGGUCUGAAGUUCAACAUCAAAAAAACGAAGAUCAUGGCCACUGGGCCCAUCACCUCCUGGCAAAUAGAAGGGGAAGAAAUGGAGGCAGUGAGAGAUUUUACUUUCUUGGGCUCCAUGAUCACUGCAGAUGGUGACAGCAGCCACGAAAUUAAAAGACGCCUGCUUCUUGGGAGAAAAGCAAUGACAAACCUAGACAGCAUCUUAAAAAGCAGAGACAUCACCUUGCUGACAAAGGUCCGUAUAGCUAAAGCUAUGGUUUUCCCAGUAGUGAUGUAUGGAAGUGAGAGCUGGACCAUAAAGAAGGCUGAUCGCCAAAGAACUGAUGCUUUUGAAUUAUAGUGUUGGAGAAGACUCUUGAGAGUCCCAUGGACUGCAAGAUCAAACCUAUCCUUUCUGAAGGAAAUCAGCCCUGAGUGCUCCCUGGAAGGACAGAUUGUGAAACUGAGGCUCCAAUACUUUGGCCACCUCAUGAGAAGAGAAGACUCCCUGGAAAAGACCCUGAUGCUGGGAAAGACCCUGUGCUGGGAGGGCACAAGGAGAAGGGGACGACAGAGGAUGAGUUGGUUGGACAGUAUUCUCCAAGCUACCAGCAUGAGUUUGACUAAACUGCGGGAGGCAGUGGAAGACAGAAGUGCCUGGCGUGCUCUGGUCCAGGGGGUCACGAAGAGUCGGAUGCGACGAAAUGACUAAACAACAACAACAACAAAGGGAAAAAGUUUGGUAUGCUGUCAGCAAAGAAGACAGAAGCCUGUCUUUUCUCACCAGCUGUGGGCACCAAAGGGGUAUGUGGCUUGCUUUUUUUGGGGUGGAAAUGAUGCUGCUUUCAAGAUGGACUAAAGAAAGCACGCCUUUAUAUGAUGCAAAAUGGAUUUGCGAUACAGUGGUACCUUGGGUUACAGACACUUCAGGUUACAGACUCUGCUAACUCAGAAAUAGUACAUCGGGUUAAGAACUUUGCUUCAGGAUGAGAACAGAAAUCGUGCUCCGGCGGCGCAGCGGCAGCAGGAGGCCCCAUUAACUAAAGUGGUGCUUCAGGUUAAGAACAGUUUCAGUUUAAGAAUGGACCCCCAGAACGAAUUAAGUUCCUAGCCCGAGGUACCACUGUAUUUGCUUUCACAAGGCUUGUCUGCACUGUUUUCUGCUUGACCCACACUUUCUAGGCAUGGGUCUGGCUGGUUUUGCCUUUUGCCCCACUGCUUUCCCCUGAAAAACCCGUUCUUUAGUGCUAAAUCGGAACAAGCGGCAAUUUGCAGCAGGCUGGGCAGGGGCAGGAACAAGGGAGGGGAGGAGAUGUUUCAUUGUGGAAGUGGAAAUCCUUGCACUGACAGAACGAGUUAGUUGGACAUUUCAUCGAAUCAUAGAACUGUAGAGUUGGAAGGGACCCUGAGGGUCAUCUAGUCCAACCCCCUGCAAUGAAGGAAUCUCAGCUAAAGCAUCCAUGACAGAUGGACAUCCAACCGCUGCUUAAAAACCUCUGGCCACAACUUCCAGAGGAAGACCAUUCCACUGCCGAACAGCUCUUACUGCCAGAAAAUCCUUCCUGGUGUAUAAUUGGAAUCUCCUUUCUUGUGACUUGAAGCCAUGGGUUCGAGUCCUACCCUACGGAGCACCGGGAUUGCCUAGCAGCGGAUGCUGAGAGGCAGUGAGGUGUUGGAGGUGUAAAUGACUACCAGACUGCCA